CGGCCGCGCGCGAAUGCGGGAGCUCGCGGCCGGAGCGCCCGGGGAGGCCCGGGCCCACGACGCCCGUGGCUCCGCUGCGGCAGCGGCGGCGCCGGUGGCGCGCGCGGCUGGGAGGCGGCUUCGCGCCGUGGGCGGGAGGCUGCGGCGGGCGACCGGUCCUGGACACGCGAGGAAGAGCGAGCCGAUGGCGCCUGCGGUCUCGCUUCGACCCGGUAACUUACAAGAUGAUAAUUCAUGUGGUUGCCGAUGAUUCUGAGUAUACACAGCUUUUAUCCCAGGAAUGUGAAUCCUUAAAUGGAAUGAAAAGCCUAUACCAUAGACAUCGAAGCCUUUACACCCCGCUUGAAGAGUUUGAAAUGGACUUUACCACAGAAAUCAAGAUGGCAGCCCAUUAUGGGGAAUUGAGGAA
rnacentral:lncRNA from 1 species